GGACCCGCACAAGUAGUGGAGCAUGUGGUUUAAUUCGAAGAUACGCGCAGAACCUUACCAACACUUGACAUGUUCGUCGCGACUUUAAGAGAUUAAAGUUUUCGGUUCGGCCGGACGAAACACAGGUGCUGCAUGGCUGUCGUCAGCUCGUGUCGUGAGAUGUUGGUUAAGUCCCGCAACGAGCGCAACCCUCACUUUUAGUUGCCAUCAUUAAGUUGGGCACUCUGAAAGAACUGCCAGUGAUAAGCUGGAGGAAGGUGGGGAUGACGUCAAGUCCUCAUGGCCCUUACGUGUUGGGCUACACACGUGCUACAAUGGUAUUUACAACAGGAAGCAAAACCGGAGGUUAAGCA
rnacentral:rRNA from 1 species